CACGUCAACGCGACCUGCUGACGUGGAAGGAAAUCGAGCCCUCAAAGACGCGAUUUCCUUCCACGUCAGCAGGUCGCGCUGACGUGG
rfam:Gossypium raimondii chromosome 11, whole genome shotgun sequence.